rnacentral:rRNA from 1 species
CUCGUAGGCGGUUCGUCGCGUCCGGUGUGAAAGUCCAUCGCUUAACGGUGGAUCCGCGCCGGGUACGGGCGGGCUUGAGUGCGGUAAGGGAGACUGGAAUUCCCGGUGUAACGGUGGAAUGUAUAGAUAUCGGGAAGAACACCAAUGGCGAAGGCAGGUCUCUGGGCCGUUACUGACGCUGAGGAGCGAAAGCGUGGGGAGCGAACA